AUGGUCUUCAUGGCAGUCUCCUUACCCACUCUGUACAGUAAAAUGAUGUCUCAGUACAGCCCAAUCACUGAAGGUCACUGCAACAAUAUCCAUUGCCUGGCCAAAGCUAUCAACCAGAUUGCUGCAGCUUUAUUUACCA